AACGAACGCUGGCGGCAGGCCUAACACAUGCAAGUCGAGCGAGGACUUCGGUCCUAGCGGCGGACGGGUGAGUAACGCGUGGGAACGUGCCCUUUGGUACGGAAUAGCCCCGGGAAACUGGGAGUAAUACCGUAUGGUGUCUUCGGACUAAAGAUUUAUCGCCAAAGGAUCGGCCCGCGUUGGAUUAGGUAGUUGGUGGGGUAAUGGCCUACCAAGCCGACGAUCCAUAGCUGGUUUGAGAGGAUGAUCAGCCACACUGGGACUGAGACACGGCCCAGACUCCUACGGGAGGCAGCAGUGGGGAAUCUUAGACAAUGGGGGCAACCCUGAUCUAGCCAUGCCGCGUGAGUGAUGAAGGCCCUAGGGUUGUAAAGCUCUUUCAGCUGGGAAGAUAAUGACGGUACCAGCAGAAGAAGCCCCGGCUAACUCCGUGCCAGCAGCCGCGGUAAUGUAGACGU
rnacentral:rRNA from 1 species